GCUAUGAGCAUUCAUUUGCAAGCUUUUGUUUGAACCUCAGUUUUCAAUUCUUUGGGGUGCAUACUUAGGAGGGGCAUUGCUGGGACAUACGGAAACGCUAUGUUUAACUUACUGAGGAGCCACCAAAUUGUUUUCCCAGCAGUUGCACCAUUUUACAUAUCCACCAAAAGCAAUGCGUGAGCCAUUGUGCCCCACCUCAGUUCAUCUAUUUCUCUGUGAUAUUUAUUCUAUAGUUGCAGAAGAAUAUUUCUCAUAUGAUACGUAUAUUAAGCUUACUGGCCAGCCAGUUUGGGUUUCUGGAUAGUGAAACUGUCCUGGAAGUGUUUGCUGAGCUUUUCUUGCUGGAGAAGAUUCUUGGCAAAGCCUGGAUGGAGGAUGGAGAUGAGAAAGGUAGUGUGAGGGUGGCACACCUGUUUUGUGCUAAUUCCAGUCUUGGCAGCCCUGGACCUGCCGGGAGAGGGAUGACAGUGACAUGUGGCCCAGUUUUUGCUCAGAGAAGGAAAAGUCACCAAGACCGACCAUGAGGGCAGGAGCUCUUGCUUCUCCUCCUAGAUGAGAGUUAGAAGGAAUUUGAGAGCAAGGCUUCUUUCUUGGGAUCCAAAUACUUCUUACCUUGGAGUUUUCCUAGCCGUGGCUAGUGGGUCAUAAUGUCAGCGACAUUGCCAAAUGGGAGCGGAAGAGUGUCGUUGGGGGAAGGGUGAAGACGCUGUCAGAGAAUAAGACAUACCCCACUAGAACUUUAAAAAACAAGUC
rnacentral:lncRNA from 1 species